AUUGAACGCUGGCGGCAGGCCUAACACAUGCAAGUCGAACGAGUGGCGGACGGGUGAGUAAUGUCUGGGAAACUGCCCGAUGGAGGGGGAUAACUCCUGGAAACGGUAGCUAAUACCGCAUACCAUCGGAUGUGCCCAGAUGGGAUUAGCUAGUAGGUGGGGUAAAGGCUCACCUAGGCGACGAUCCCUAGCUGGUCUGCGAGGAUGACCAGACACACGGGAACUGAGACACGGUCCAGACUCCGACGGGAGGCAGAAGUGGGGAAUAUUGCACAAUGGGCGCAAGCCUGAUGCAGCCAUGCGGCGUGUAUGAAGAAGGCCUUCGGGUUGUAAAGUACUUUCAGCGAGGAGGCGUUACUCGCAGAAGAAGCACCGGCUAACUCCGUGCCAGCAGCCGCGGUAAUUC
rnacentral:rRNA from 1 species